UGAACGCUGGCGGCGUGCUUAACACAUGCAAGUCGAACGAAGCACUUUAACCUGAUUCUUCGGAUGAAGGUUUUUGUGACUGAGUGGCGGACGGGUGAGUAACGCGUGGGUAACCUGCCUCAUACAGGGGGAUAACAGUUAGAAAUGACUGCUAAUACCGCAUAAGACCACAGAGCCGCAUGGCUCGGUGGGAAAAACUCCGGUGGUAUGAGAUGGACCCGCGUCUGAUUAGGUAGUUGGUGGGGUAACGGCCUACCAAGCCAACGAUCAGUAGCCGACCUGAGAGGGUGACCGGCCACAUUGGGACUGAGACACGGCCCAAACUCCUACGGGAGGCAGCAGUGGGGAAUAUUGCACAAUGGGGGAAACCCUGAUGCAGCGACGCCGCGUGAGCGAAGAAGUAUUUCGGUAUGUAAAGCUCUAUCAGCAGGGAAGAAAAUGACGGUACCUGACUAAGAAGCACCGGCUAAAUACGUG
rnacentral:rRNA from 1 species